UGGGGAAUCUUGCGCAAUGGGCGAAAGCCUGACGCAGCCAUGCCGCGUGAAUGAUGAAGGUCUUAGGAUUGUAAAAUUCUUUCACCGGGGACGAUAAUGACGGUACCCGGAGAAGAAGCCCCGGCUAACUUCGUGCCAGCAGCCGCGGUAAUACGAAGGGGGCUAGCGUUGCUCGGAAUUACUGGGCGUAAAGGGAGCGUAGGCGGACAUUUAAGUCAGGGGUGAAAUCCCGGGGCUCAACCUCGGAAUUGCCUUUGAUACUGGGUGUCUUGAGUAUGAGAGAGGUGUGUGGAACUCCGAGUGUAGAGGUGAAAUUCGUAGAUAUUCGGAGGAACACCAGUGGCGAAGGCGGCUCACUGGCUCGAUACUGACGCUGAGGUGCGAAAGCGUGGGGAGCAAACAGG
rnacentral:rRNA from 1 species